UGGGGAAUAUUGGACAAUGGGGGCAACCCUGAUCCAGCAAUGCCGCGUGUGUGAAGAAGGUCUUCGGAUUGUAAAGCACUUUCGACGGGGACGAUGAUGACGGUACCCGUAGAAGAAGCCCCGGCUAACUUCGUGCCAGCAGCCGCGGUAAUACGAAGGGGGCUAGCGUUGCUCGGAAUGACUGGGCGUAAAGGGCGUGUAGGCGGUUUACACAGUCAGAUGUGAAAAUCCCCGGGCUUAACCUGGGAGCUGCAUUUGAUACGUGUAGACUAGAGUGUGAGAGAGGGUUGUGGAAUUCCCAGUGUAGAGGUGAAAUUCGUAGAUAUUGGGAAGAACACCGGUGGCGAAGGCGGCAACCUGGCUCAUGACUGACGCUGAGGCGCGAAAGCGUGGGGAGCAAACAGGAUUAGAUACCCUGGUAGUCCACGCUGUAAACGAUGUGUGCUAGAUGUUGGGUAACUUUGUUAU
rnacentral:rRNA from 1 species